UACGUAGGGUGCGAGCGUUGUCCGGAAUUACUGGGCGUAAAGCGUGCGCAGGCGGUUUUGUAAGUCUGUCGUGAAAGCCCCGGGCUCAACCUGGGAAUUGCGAUGGAGACUGCAAGGCUUGAAUCUGGCAGAGGGGGGUAGAAUUCCACGUGUAGCAGUGAAAUGCGUAGAGAUGUGGAGGAACACCGAUGGCGAAGGCAGCCCCCUGGGUCAAGAUUGACGCUCAUGCACGAAAGCGUGGGGAGCAAACAGG
rnacentral:rRNA from 1 species